rnacentral:sRNA from 1 species
CAAACCGAUUCACAGUCGAGUCCGGAAGUUUCCUCGAUAUCUGAUGGGCUCUGAUGAUGGGAGCUCAGUGGCAGCAACGACAGUCUCGUCGGAUGAGACCAACAGUUGCACCAUGCUUUACUAUGUCGCCCCUGCUGUCCUGGGACAUAACCCCCUUAGUCUUAGACAGAAUAUAUACUCUCCCAACGAAUGUUUCCUUUUGCUAAUACCGAUUGGACUACAAAAGCAGGCUUACCAAUACGAAAAGCAGCUCAAAUGAUUCAUUUGGCAGGCCAAACGCAGAGAUUAAGUACUCUUCAACGGGCACCUGAGAAACCAGCAAGGAACUUAAACGAGAGCCAAAAGAUGGGCUACAUCUACAGCCUAAAAGCAACCUUAUAGAGACAGACUAUCGAUCUAUGCAUCCAUGGCAUCGUCUUAUACUGAACAAGGAUUGAAACCAUUUGAAAGGCGAAGAAAGAGUGAAAGAAACUCAUUAAGGACACCAAUUUUAUAGACAAUGAAAUUCCGAUAGUAAACACUACCGAUUACGCCUUCAUUUUUCAGAUCAACAUCAGAAGUCCAUUGAGCGAAAUCUGGGUCAUUUGGGUAUCAAAGAAGUCAUUGCCAUGCCAGAAUCAUCCCUAUGCUCCAAUACCGAUAGCCCAUAGUCCAGCGAGGGCUAAACAGUUUGUAAAAGACUUCAGAGACUAUACUAUACCCUAAGGACAGUCUGCACUUGGCCAGAUCAGACAUCUUCGCCAGGAGGCCGCAAAUCAUGUACGCCCAAUUAGACACUGCCUAUUUUUAAUCCCGACAAA